UGGGGAAUAUUGCACAAUGGGGGAAACCCUGAUGCAGCGACGCCGCGUGAACGAAGAAGGUAUUCGUAUCGUAAAGUUCUGUCCUAAGGGAAGAUAAUGACAGUACCAUAGAAGAAAGCUCCGGCUAAAUACGUGCCAGCAGCCGCGGUAAUACGUAUGGAGCGAGCGUUGUCCGGAAUUAUUGGGCGUAACGGGUACGCAGGCGGUUUAAUAAGUCGAAUGUUAAAGAUCGGGGCUCAACCCCGCAAAGCAUUGGAAACUGAUAAAAUUGAGUAGUGGAGAGGAAAGUGGAAUUCCUAGUGUAGUGGUGAAAUACGUAGAUAUUAGGAGGAAUACCAGUAGCGAAGGCGACUUUCUGGACACAAACUGACGCUGAGGUACGAAAGCGUGGGGAGCAAACAGG
rnacentral:rRNA from 1 species